rnacentral:lncRNA from 1 species
GCAAUAAGUGCAUGAAAGCAAACUGAAAAUCCCCCGAAACUUGGCGUAUUUUCAGAGAGGUAACCACUGAGGUGAUGUAAUGCUACUCCACGUUGGACCCAUCUGUGUUUGUUGAAAAGGGUAGUGAAAUAUUCAGAGAUUUUGAUAAAAUACUGCACAUCUGGAAAAUAGAUAAAUGUUUUCCACCUAUAUAAUGGAAAUGAAAGUAUUUAACUUGGGUUAAAUGCAAUUGGAUUCAAAGUAAACAGAACAAAAAAAAAAACAAAAAAGGAACCAGGUAAGCUGAGUUAACACUAAACUGUGCUGAACCAGAACGUACUUUUUCAUUUCUUGUUUUGUAACACCUUGAUAAAAGAUGUAUUCCUUUUCUGUAGGAUACAUUCUUUUUUCCUGAAACAUGAGUGCCU